ACUCUUUCAAGCCGAAAGGAGAUAUUCUACGAGUCACCAACCUUGAACCUUCGGAGAAUUUUCCCGAAAAAGAUCCAAAAGUAACUUCUGGGCGUUUUGAUGCUAUUACUUAGGCUACUGCUAUUCCUUUUUUAUUGUCAACUUCUAGGAUAGACGAAAGAUUCUCAAGUAGGUUCAAAUCCUACUUGGGGAGCUUCCCUUAACAUUACUACUCGACGAAAGAAUAAAAGGGGAAUUGAUUCGUAAUACGAAUCGCUAUUCCGCCAUCUCCGCUUCUUGGAAGACCACCACUCUUCUUCUUACUUAUGAUACAGUUGGUCUGACUAAGCCCAUUUGCUUAAUGAAGGCCGAGAUGAGCUUUCCAGAGUAAGACAGCGUGCUUCACUCCUACGUUAGGAUGCUAUACCCAUAGCCUCCUACGCUUCUCUUCACUACGUUUUUUCUUCUUUCCCGCCUAUCGAGGCACCGGGAAGAAUGGACCACCAAUGAAUCCUGCUUCCUUAUCUUCUUCUUCCCCCAUUCCGUUGAUUGGUUCCAACAUCAAGACUGGUGGAGGAGAACUCAAGUCAAGAUUGGUUUCAAAUUUUCAGUUUUUGUCGAC
rnacentral:lncRNA from 1 species